rnacentral:antisense_RNA from 1 species
ACUUCCGCCCUCGUCUGGGAACGCCUCUCGCCCCGUCGCGUUUAUUCAGGACACAGAUUCUAAAAGAGAAAAGCCCUCGCAUUUAAUUUCUCAUACCUGGACCUGCUCUCCUAGCCACUGAAACGCACUAUAUCCAAGAUCAGUUCUGAUGACCAAGAUCCCAAAGACAAACUGAAGACCUAGGCCCCAAAACACUGUCCUCCAGGACACCUAGGAUCAAUAAGAAAAUUAUUCCAAUGGUGAAAACUGAGGUUUAGAGAGGGUAAAUAACUUGCCCAAAAUCUGGAAAAGUUUGCCAACCCCUGGUCUUACUCCUCAUUAAGGUGAGCAAAAAUAUUAACCAACAUUCAUUGCAGAACUACACCUGGAGAGCCUGUUCUUUCUUCUUUUUUUUUUUUUUCAAGACAGGGUCUCACUGUGUCCCCUAGGCUGGAGUACAGUGGCACGAUCAUGGCUCACUGCAGCCUUAAUCUCCUGGGCUCAAGUGAUCCUCCCACCUCGGACUCCUGGAGUAGCUGGGACUACAGGCACGC